UCGGGAAUUUUGGGCAAUGGGCGAAAGCCUGACCCAGCAACGCCGCGUGAGGGAUGAAGUAUUUCGGUAUGUAAACCUCGAAAGAAUGGGAAGAAUAAAUGACGGUACCAUUUAUAAGCUCCGGCUAACUACGUGCCAGCAGCCGCGGUAAUACGUAGGGAGCAAGCGUUGUUCGGAUUUACUGGGCGUAAAGGGCGCGUAGGCGGCGCGGUAAGUCACUUGUGAAAUCUCUGAGCUUAACUCAGAACGGCCAAGUGAUACUGCUGUGCUAGAGUGCGGAAGAGGCAACCGGAAUUCUUGGUGUAGCGGUGAAAUGCAGAGAUAUCAAGAGGAACACCUGAGGCGAAGGCGGGUUGCUGGGCCGACACUGACGCUGAUGCGCGAAAGCCAGGGGAGCAAA
rnacentral:rRNA from 1 species